UAUACCAAAAAGAAAAAAAAUUAAAUGAAGUGAGAGCGAGAGGUGCAGCGGACAAUUGCAACGCAGCAAUCCUGAAGGUCUGAAAAUAAUAAUUCUGCAGACUUCCAUUUCUUUAUCGCAAAAUGCACAUCAUAUCAUCAUCGGCGUCAUCAUCAUCAUGUGCUACUGCCUCAGCUACUGCAUAACUACAAUUCCUGGAAAACGAAGUAUGGUUCCAGUGGUACCCAUAGAAAAAGAAGCUAGGAGUCCUCGUCGCAGAUAACGACGCGACGCGGUACGGAUAACAAGCCGACAUGGGAGUCACUCGACACCGCGGGACGCCCGGUACCCACCGACCCUAUUUUCUGCCCUUCUCUACACCAUGAUCUCGGAAUAUCCUACCAACGGAAAAUCAACCCCUUGAUACCUCAAGGAUAUAAAAGGUAUUCCGACGAACAGAAAGAGCAAAGAAACAAGGUACAUCACGGGUACUGCGGUGAACAGGAAGCGAUAUUAAUGGCUGGAAAAAAUUCACUAGCUAGUAGCUAGACAUGCACGAAGAGUGGGAUAUGAUAUUUGGUUGACAGCUAUUGUCGUCGAUAUUUCAAUGGGGGUAUUACAACAAUAAGCUGCAGCUAUUGACAAGGGCACGCGGUUCGGAGGACGACAGAGGGG
rnacentral:misc_RNA from 1 species